AUCCUUUUAUAGUUCAUAAGCAUGAUGAUUGGGUUUUCAUGCACAUGCGUGAGAUGUGCCACCCACAAAUCUUGUUACCAUGUUGGCCUAUCACCUGUCUGACA